rnacentral:rRNA from 1 species
UGGCUUUUUAACCUAUAUUGUAGGAUGGAUCUCAAAAGAUAUGAAAGAUCUGCCUCCAAGCUAUACAUACAACUUUCAUCGAAUACUCCAUAGGUUGAUGAACAAAAGGAGGAAUCCGCCUGAGGAAGAGCUUGCGUCUGAUUUGCUAGUUGGUGAGGCAAUAGUCCAAGGCAUUACUGGUCCGAGAGGAUGAUCAGUCACACUAGGACUGAGACGUGGACUCCUACGGGAGACAAUAGUGGAAAAUUUUCAACAAUGGGUGAAAAGCUCAGGAGCAAUGCCA